rnacentral:lncRNA from 1 species
CGAAGGUGCGAUGGAUCAGAAGUUUGGUGCAGGCAGGGCAGAUGACGCGGGACUGUCAGAUGAGACCUUGUGCUUUUAAUCUUCAAUUCUGUUAUUGAUUACAGCAUCACUGUAAUACAUCAGGAUAUUUGGUUGCAGUGUAUGGAGGCACUAGAGAAUUUCCUAAAGUGGAAAACAUGACCAGAGCUGCCUGGGCUGUGCGGGAUGCUGUGCCCAGGAGCUCCCAGGCGCUGCGGCUGUGCGACGUGACGGGUGCCGGAGCUUUGUGCACCAGGACUGAAGGAGCAGAAGUUUGGAAUCACAGUGGAGCUCGUGUCAUUUCCAGUUUGUGGACAUACCUGAUGUGUAAUUAA